CACGCUGCGCCUUGCCCCGGACAGUGUGGGGACAGCAGGGGAAGGUGCCUUUCAGUAUCGAGACAGGCCCCCGAUCCUGCGGAGACUCGGGCUAAACUUUAUCCCCACGGUGAGGGUCGCUCACUUGUCUUCGCCGGCUCAGGGCUCCCCUCUGCAGAGCCCGGGGGAGCCACGUUCCGUACAAUGUAAUUGCAGUUUGCAGUCAAGCUUUUAACACUGCAUCGUUUCGCCCGUUGGUGUAGUUCACUUUUACCUUUUUAUUGAAGGCGUGACACGCACCUUCGUUAAUCUGUUCCUGGCUCAGGCUGCCAACGCAUUUUUUCAAUAAAAAUCAGUAUCCUUGCUUGAGAUGAUCAUAAACGUUUACUGAAGUCAGCCGACACGAGUUACUUAAUUCUAAUCCCCUUUUACAAGAUUAGUAUGUUUGUAGUGUUUUUAAAAACUGCAUGCUUUCCCCCCAGUAAUUUUGUAUUACUGCUGAGGGCAUUCUACACCAAAAAAAUAAAAAUUCAGUGCACAAUAUUUUAAAAUUCUGCACAUUUUAUUUGUCAAAUGUCAAGGCUUCAGCAUGGCAGGGUGGGGAGCACUGUGCAGUGCUGCCCUGACAGGCCCAGGGAUUCAGUGAUGAGGCUGUACUCAACCCUGACACAGCACAAGGACCAGGCCUGCCUCAGAAACACCUCAGUUGACAGGUGCAUCAGGUGUGGGCAGGAAGGUUCAGCGAGGCAGGAUCCAAGUAUAAGUUGAGAGGGUUCUGUGUGGAGCAAUUGGUGCAGGCAGGUGAGUGGGGGCUCUGGGUGCAACGGUAAUGGGACUCUGCAGGGGGUCCAGGUGAAGGUGGUUGGGGGUCAGCAGAGGGGUCUCUGUGUGCAGGAGGAUAGGGCUUGUGGGGUAGGAAUCUGGGUGCAGGUGGCUUGGCAGGGUGGUCUGGAGGAGGGAGGCUUAUGGGGGGUUCUCAAUGCGGGGGGGGGGUGAGGCUUAGCAGGAGGGGCUAUGAGGGGGUCUGGAUGUCUGGAGAUUGAGUGGAUGGGGGAGCAGGGAGCUGUACAAGGAUCACUCCCCCUGCAUCUGAGGAGCCAUGGGUGCAGGAAGUGGCAGGGGGAGUUUGCUAAGCUUCCUGCAGCUGUCGGAGAAAUCUGGGUAUGGGUCUAACCCAGUUCCAGAUGUGUAGGGAAGAGGCAGUCCCAUCCUCCCCAGCCCAGCUGGGACUAGCAGCUGAGCCCACUGCAAGGUAGGAGCCAUCAGCUGGGUCUUUCCCAGUCCUGUCUUCUGCUCCACAGUGAUUUACUUCCUGGCAGGCUGCCUUGGGGGCACCUGAAAAAUACUGUUGUGGAGGGUCUCAUGACCUCUUAUUGCUUCCCCAUCAGAAAGUCAUUUUUCUGCAGGGAAGCAAAAAAAUCUGCAGGGGUCAUACAUUCUGCACAUGUGAAGUGGUGCAGAAUUCCCCCAGGAAUAUUGUUUAUAAUUGUGGCACCACCAUCCCCUAUAUCAUGUCUCCUAUCUGUAUCUAACAAUAAACUACAGGAAGGGCAUUGUACCUAUCAAGAUUUCUACUUUGUCCCCCUUAUAGCAAGAAUAAACUAGGAAAAUUUUAUUGACUUAACCUGCUUUUUAAUGAGAUAUAAAGUUGGCCUAUAAGUUUGGAUGCUUUUAAAGCUUUUUUCCCUUUUUAUUUUUUAACCUUAAACUUUAGCAGCGCCAAGCCUUAUCUUUUUUGUUUUUUCUGGAGGUUGUCUUUCAAGACUCAAACAUGGAUUGUUCUCUUAUUCUUUAAUAAAAGGAGAAUGGUUGUUGAAACUUUAACAAAACAUAUUCCAUAGAUAUUUGGUGAGGUAUUUGUUCAAAGCUAUUUUGUAUUUUAUUAAUAAACUCCUAACUCCUAAGAUCUAUCUACACAAGGAAAUUUUAAAAAAAAUCCUAUACUUGCUAAUACUGACAUUGCUAUUAUCAAUGAGCUGGUGAGCAACUUUUAGAAACAUUUGGCCUUUGAAGUUUGGCAUUUUGAGGCAGGGAGAAUUGGGCACAAGUCUAUUCUCUUGAGUUCCCUUUCAACUGGCAUGCCUAAGCUCCUUCUAGAAAAUUCUUAGUUGCUAAGUGUGCCAGAAACAAGAGUUUCUCUAUUAAUAGCUUCUGUACAAAUCACAAAUAUUAAUUUUCUACAAGAUGAAAUUUUCAAGAUGGAAAUAAAACAAAAGCUUAAAUGCUUUGAAUAAAAAUUUCUCUGUCAAUCAGUAUUCAUUUCUUUGGUCAAUGUGGUAAUCCUACUAAUUCUGUAGUUAGACGCAUAGUCUUGCAAGAGAAGCAGAUAUGAAUUUCAAGUGUAAAAAAAAAAAGGCAAAAGGAAUAAAAAUACUCCAUAGAUCUCUUCUGUACAACGUAAGCAACAAAGAGGUCACACUAUAUUUUCCCCAUUGCAGUUUACCUCUAUAAUCAUUAGGUGCUAAAUUAUCCCAGUGAUAAUCAUCUUAGAAAUAAGAUACAACAAGAUCUAAGAGAAAAAUUAGUCAUAUUUACAGCAAAUUCGUGCAGAGGAGUCAUUUCAUUGCCACAUUGCAGGCAAACGAAUCCUCAUUUGUGCCAAGAAUCAAAUAUGUCAUUGAGAAAGUUGUCAGAACAGGAGACAGUCACAACUGGGAACUGCUAGCAUAAGCCUGGUCUCCUGAAUUAUGUUUCCACUGUCACUGAGUUGCUGUGUAGAGAAAUUUGACUUCUGGUUCUUCCUAGUGUGGCAUACCUGUAACCCAUCUCAUGUCCCCACCCACACAAGUGUUUGAAGUGGUGCACAGGAGUUCCAAGCACUUUUUUGAACUAGCUUUUUUUGAGCAAUGUGAACCAUUGUAUGGUCCUCCACUCUACCAAUCUCUGCCUUUGCAAUGUAUGCAUGGACAGAGAUUGCUGCAGCCCCCUAAAAGCAAAUAUUCCUACUGCUGCCAUUCCACAGGCAAUUGGUCACUGCUUAGGCAGCCUGUCUGAUAUGCAUUCUGAACUCUGCUACAUAGGGAUCAAGUUUUCUGGAAGCCACUUUCCUAUUCAAAUAGCACUGUGCCCAACAUGGAGCUCAAUUGUGUGCUAUUUGAUUCUGUUACUAGUAUGUCUUGGAAGCUACCAAACAAGGGUGCUGCCAGCUGGCCUGAGGCUGACAUGGGUACUGGAGAUCAUAUGCAAAGGCAGCUGCACUUGUUCAUUCACAGUAUUUUAAUAUAUGACUGGCUGAACUGGUCAUCAGAUGGAGUACAUCUACAUUUGAGCUUGGAGGUGUGAUUCCCAGCUUUUGUAGAUGUAGCCAUGCUAACUACUUGAGCAAGUGCCUCAAAAUAUGUGUGUCUGUGGCAGCUGAGGCUAGCCACCCAGGGACUCAGGAUUGUAUUUGGGGCAGCUAGGCUGAGCCACUGCCUUUGCUGCUGCUGACAUACUAUUUUUGGGUGCUAGCUCAAGCAGAGAUAGUGGAAGGGUACAUCUGUGUGAGCUGGGAAGUGUAGAUGCACGCUUAGAGGGGAGAAGUAGUGCCAAGAGAAGACAAAGAGACUUGAAGUCCUGUAUAACAAAACAUGGAAGAAUAACAGUAGGUCCUUCUCAGAGCAGAAAACAUGUCUCUUGCAUAGUGCUCUGGAUCAAAGCCUGAAGGUUCACCCUUCCACACAAUUAAAAGGUGCUUCUGGAUAGCACAGAAAGUCCAUACAGUGCAGUCCAUCAGGACAAGGAGAUCUUGUAUACAUUUGCAGGAUAUGCUUGUGGGGAUCUAGAGUCAGCAGUUGAGCCAAUACAGGAGGAGGAAUUGGAAGGUGAGGGGUCAUCUAAAGAAAUUGGCUGAUUUUGCAAUCUUGAUUGUUGGAAAAAGAGGUUCCCAGGUUCUUAGAAAAGCCACUGUUAGGAUUAAUAAAAGGAAAGAGACAGAAUCACACAACAGUGAAAGUGUCUACCACUUCAGUUCCACCAGCAACCUUCUUCUCAGGCUUGCUAUGUCUCCAUCUCUGCUGCACAAGUUCCUCCAUAGGUCAACCCAGUUCAGUUCCCUAAUACUUCCCCUGAGUUGGCAUUCCCCUUGAAGCAUCCUGUGCUGGCAGGUACAUGAACCACUGCUCCUGGUUAAGAGAAAAAUGUUCAGCAUGACGUGCAGCGUGUGCUUCAGCUCUGUCAGAUGGGUGAACUCAAAAUAGUGGGGGAAAAUUACAAACUACAACGUAAAAAGGCAAAAAAUAAGAACUUUAUUGCAAAUCACGUUGGGCACUACAGCAAAAGCAUAGUGCAUUUUUCAUAUUACAAUGUAGCUAUAAUGGCAUAUAUGCCAGGCAAUGAACUUACCUAGCGUUCUGCUCAUAUUUAGAUGAAGUGGCAUUUAGCUUUGCCUUGUAAUUCAGUGCAUGGAAAACUGCUUUAGGCAUAUUUUGCUGGCAAAGUGAUGUAGAGAUAAUACAAACUAUGAAAGUUGGGGGAAAACACUGCUUAUCAUGACCAUUGCCUGACAUUAAAUACAUCACUAGAAAUCUAGUGGAGAUUCCUGUUAAUUUUAUUUCUUAUUUUUUCUGGCCCUUGGGAGUUAUAUACGAAAAAACUCAAAACAAAGUUCCAGCCCUGCAAUCCAAUUUUUGGGCAAUCCAUCAUAGUCUCAGCCUUUUCCCCUCAGUUCCUUGAAAAUUGCUUUUUCCCCUUGUUGCAACCCUCCACAAAAGGUUGGGGUUUUUUAUUUUGUUUGCCUGCAAUAGAUAGCCAUUGCAAGUGCCCCUGCUUCCUCUUUCCAUUCUGCAUUAAUAUAACAUCCCCAUCCUUACUCUUGGAAAUCAAGUGUGUGAAUUUAAUAUGUCCUUUCCAGCUCUAGUACAAAGAGAGAGACCCUUGUACAGUGUCAGUGUAAUCUGAAACUGAACUGAAAUUGUUACUUUUAUUGCAUUCAAGUGAUGGACUGGCUGUUGCUAUAGCAAUAUUAUGAACUCUUUCAUUUAAUUUCAUUGUACUCACCAAUAUGGCUGCCUCUAAGUAGGUGUGAUAACCAGUAAAUUGAAUCCACAGCAGUAUAUGCCCAACAACUGAGGUUCAGGAAAACAGCAGAGCAAGGGAAAUUUAUUUCUGGUCAUGCAUAGAGACUUGGAGCCCAGGUAAAAGUCUGAACAAAAUGAGACUCAUUAAAAGACAGGAAACCAGAAAUGAUGCUUACUAUUUCUGGAAUAAGGAGAUAAGAAUGAAUAAGGAGUUCCAGUGGAAUUUUUUCAAUGAAUAGACAGUGGCACAGGAAAAAAAACAAAACAGGUUGGCCUAAUGCAACAGGACAAUGUUACUUAGUUUGACUAUCCCCUACUGGGGCUCCCUUAGUCAUUCCCUAGACUUCCACUCCAUCCUACAGUCAUGGAAUGGAAAACAGGAAUCCCAAUUAGAUAGAUUUGAGAAAUUUAAUUUCUAUAUUGGUCUUUGUAGAGUGUACAGGUUAACUAAUUUCUAUUACAGCUGGUCUUCAAUCUUGUGUUUAAUAACAAGUUUCUGGAACUGUGCACUUAUCACAUCAUAGUGUUUAUGAUCAAGACACUAUCAUUUAACUACUCCGUAUGCUUCCUCAUCAAACUACUAGUAAAGCAUAAGAUAAAUGCAUAAAACCAUUACCACAAAGCACAUAAAGGCUCUUCAUAGCAGCAACUUCCAGUUGUUAUGCUAUCAAUAAAAUAAAAAUUUGCUCCUCCAUAAACUCCUUCACCAUGCAAAGCAAGAGAAAUAGACAACAAAAGUUUAUACAUAAUACAUAAAGAGGAAAUCCAGCAUCACUAGAAAGGAUUAAAUAAAACCAAGAAACAUUUACUUCACUGCUCCAGCCCCAUUUCUCACCAUCAUUUUGAAAGUUUGUGCACAACUCGGGCAAACACAAACUAUAGCACAUGCUAAUGUAAGUAACAGCUUUGGGUGCAACAGUUGUCAAGCUGUGCAUCAAUUGCUGGAAAUCACACUGCCUCCUUUGAUUUCAUGUUACAGCAACACCUUAUAAGAGCAAUCACUGCUUACGAGAAACAUUUACCCUAGGAAUACUUUCCCUCCCGUGAAUUGUCCGCUCGAUAACAGCAACAUAUCCACUGCAUAAGAGCACCAUUUUUGAUGUCACAUCUGAGGUAGAUCUUGGUGGGCCAUGUAGAGGUGUUGCCCCUACAAACUGAAUCUUCAGCAGAGCUCCAGGGCACACAGCUUUGUCCAUUUGCCCUGUCUAACAGAGCCUGCAUGGAGGCCAUGUGUAGGGGGGUAGUUUGGGAGAGGGUCUGGAAGAGGGGGCUUUUUCAGGGAGGAGGGAGGCUUGGGGUUAGAGGAGCAACAGAAAUGCAUCUGGACAGUUUCCUCCAUCCUUCCUCAAUAUCUGGCAUGGUGGUUGCUAUUUUGCAGUGGGGAGUAUUGGGGACCCACCUGUGCAGAGCUGUCCGCUCCAUCUCGGUUGUUGGCAGCAGGAUGUGGAUGUGCUGUUUUGCAGUGGGGGAAAUCAGGGGACUGCGGUCCUUAGGGCAUUUACCUGUCUGCUUCCCCUCUCCCAUCUUCACUGCGUUUCCCUCCCUCCAUUGCAGGCUGUGCGUGGUACCCUCCCCAACAAUCCAUCCCUUACCACUGUGGAGCAUGAAGCUGCCACCUGGAGCAUCAUCAGCCGGUUCCUGGCACUCACUCAACCAUUUUGCUGAAUGGGAGCUCCCCCACCCUACAAUUUCUUCCCACCACAACCUGGCUGACCCCCACUUUCCAAAACACACUUAACUCUUCAUAUGGUUUUGGUUAGACAACACUAUAACAGCAACAGGUAACAGGUGCUUAGGAGCAACAUAGCAAAAGAGCACCUAUGUGUUGCUACCAAGGAGUGUCUACUGUAUUCAGGCAAAUAUUAUAAUGGCUACAUUAGUCACUAAACUGUUACUGCAGGUUAACAGCCAUUUCAGUUUUGCUUUCAGUUGCACAAAAGCAUGCUCCACCAUUGACUUGUACCUGUUGAUUGGUUACAGUUAAAAGUGGCAUCUCUCUGUAUUUACGUAGUCUGUGGUUUCAUUAACAAUUGUAAAAGUGAACUUGCACAGUUUUACCCAGAAUUAGGGGGGAUGAAGAUCCCUUUGAUGUCAGUGUUGUUUGAUAGGCCUGGAGCUCCUCUCUAGUCAUUCUUGGGCUUAUUUUUUGAAAGUCUAGCAUCAUGUACUUUGCCAUAUGUACACAAGCAGGAACCUUUUGCAAUGACCAAUUAAGACUUGUGUCAGCAUUAGUGGUAGCCAGGCCCCAUGUAUUUAAUGGUUAUGGAAUUCACCCUUUACCACUAAAGUGUGCUCCAGGAUCUAGACCUUUGCUAAAAUACAUAUACCUUGUUUCUGUUAUGGUUGAAAAGAAAUGCUUGAAACAUGAACCAAGUGUAUGUGAAUGCACUAGAAUUUACAAAAAGCCUGAAACAAUACCUUUGAGAGGUGUAAACUGCCUAAUUUAUCUUAAUGGAUCAUAAAUUCUGAAACCUAAAGGUAAUACUCUGCAGCAUACUGAAAACAAAGUGUUGGGAUAAUAUAAAACAAACAGAAUGUAAUAAUUAAAUAUAGGUACAUCUGAUGGUACCAUAGAACCUCAGAGUUAUGAACCCCAGUUACCAACUGACUAGUCAACCACACUCCUCAUUUGGAACCAGAAGUACACUAUCAAGCAGCAGCAGAGACAAUAAAAUAAAAAAGCAAAUACAGUACAGUAUUGUGUUAAAUAUAAAUUACUAAAAAAAAAUAAAGGGAAAGCAGCUUGUAAAGUACUUCUACGAAUGAGGCACUUAUCCUGAUUGGGGCAUUUUUCCUUCUGCAUAGUAAAGUUUCAAAGCUGUUUUAAGUCAGUGUUCAGUGGUAAACUUUUGAAAGAACAACCACAACCUUUUGUUAAGUUACGAACACUUCAGAGUUACAAACAAUCUCCAUUCCCGAGGUGUUUGUAAUUGUGGUUCUACUGUAUUAAAUUUAAUAUAUAGUUCAAUUAAACCUGUAGUUUAAUUUCAGUCAAUAGAAGUAUGCUGUAUUUGAGACAGCUGUAGGAAAUGAGGACACUUGCUUUUUUUGUAAGCUAAAAAAAGUAGAAACUUGUCAACAUUAAUUAGGAAUAUAAAUGAGGUAGGGAAAUCUGAUAAAAUAAACUAUAUACUAUGAUAUUUAGCCAUUUUUGGCUCAGCUUUUUGCAUUUUUUAGGAAGUUGAGGACUGUGAAAGAUUGACUUCAGGAAAUAUUUCAAAAGUUGUCUAGUUUGUCUCCAUUUGAAAUAGUUGUUUAUGUACAUGGGUUGAAGCAAUUCUGGAGUUCUCAGUCUUUCCUUUAUGCAGAUAACAUUUUUAUUGUGAGAUUGCUUCAUAAUUAACCUCCCCUUCCCUCAGUGAUCAUGCUGAACACUUACCUGGCCAAAUGCAACAGCAUAACAUCACAGUGCUAACUAUAACAAUUUGUUAAAGGAAACAAAAUUUAUAUAAUGUUAGCUAUCUUUUAAUGGGAUGUUUUGUCUUUUGUGAAAAAAAAUCUAAUUUUACUUUUGUAUGUUAUCAUCGCUUUCUGAAACUUGUCCUCUUCCUUUCUUUGCACCUAGUUCCCUGCCAGUUUUCCUGGGACAUGCUUCCCAGCCAGCUGAUCCUUUCCUCCACCUACUCUCCUGAUACACUGGCACAUAGGCUCUCCUUUCUUCCCUAGAUAUUCACUCCUACUCUUUUCCUCUUAUGUAUCGACAAUCUUUACUAAAGGAGCUAGGCUAGCUCUUCCUCAUAUCCAGCUGCUUUUCUUGGCAUCCAGACUCUUUUUAUCUAUCUAGUAGGAACACCCAAAGGCCCCAAUCAGGGUAAGUACCACAUAGGGAGAAGUACUUUACAAGCACAAGACAUUAUCCCUGUAAGCUUUUCACAAGUGUAAUUUCAGGUGACACAAAUGUGUGUCUCUAACACAACACAAGGGAAGAUGAGAGUAACAGUAGUGUGUGGAUUCUGGACAGAGAUGGAAGCACCUGAAAAGAGAGCCAACUCCAGAUUACCUGCCAGGUCUUUGCUCUCCAGAGCACCAGUUCCUGGACCACAGUUUAAGAACAGCUUGUUUAAUUAAUAAAUUGGUCUAAUUUUAUAAGACCAAUUAAUGUGAAGAUACACAAAUAAUUCAAAAAGUUUUUGGUCUGAAUAAUUACAAAAUUAAAACAGAAAUGGACUAAUAACAUUUUAAAAUAAAUGAAAACAGUAUGAUGGUACAAGUAGUGCAGGAGAACUGGACAGCGAAUUUAACUAUAAAGAGAAAAUGAAACUGACAGUUUAGUUUCACUAUCCAAGCUCAGGGAAGUGCAUUAAAUCAAAUAAACAUUAAAAAUUGUAAUGGUUCUUCAUCUUCUACAAUAAUAUAAGGCAGUAUUAAGAGUUAGAUUUUUUUUUUUUUUUUUAAUGUGGACAAAGUUCCCCUAUAGUUGGCAAUACCUCUUGGGGAUUAUGUGAACACAAAGCCAAGUAGCUUGAAAUCCCUACAUGACACUUCAUUCUUGUUACUAAAUUAUUAAAUGUAUAACUUGUUUUAUUAAAUGCAUUGCUUAUAGCUUAGUUAUGCUACCACCCCUACAGGUUAUUAUAAAUGAAUUUCUUUUUUUAGACUGUUUGCUUACGUUCUGAAUUGCUCUUGAUCCAACCAAUGAAACUGGAUGUCUGUUUCUCUUUGUUACUUGUCAAUUUCAAUUUAUGGCAAUUCUACAGUAUUUGACUGGAAAUUUUACUAAUGUUUGUUUUUAAAAGAGUGCACAUGGGAUAUUUCAUUGCAUGGAGGCAUUUUUCUUUAUAAAUAUUCUCAAAGGAUUCUUAACUCAGUUGAAGACAGUCCCGAACUCCCAAAGCUGAAGGGGUUCUCAAGGGAUGUGUACUCCUCUCUCCCCCUGUUCAGCAGAUGGAUUCCAACAAUCAGUGCCAUCAGCUCUCAGGGUUUUUGUCUGCUUUCUCUGCUGAGAAUGGAGAAAUUCCCUGACUGCUCCUGUUAAACAUUGAGUCAGUCAAGUUUUUGUUGUUUUUCUGUUACCAUAUAGAAGUAUAGGACUAAAAAGGACCUCCUCCUGAUAUAUAGUCCAGUCCCCUACUAUUGCAGGAAACCCCCAUCAUAUCAUCUGAUCCAUAAAUUUAUCAAGCUCUAUUUUAAAACUAGUUAGGUUUGUUCCCUCUCUCCACUGGAAGGCUGUUUCAGAAGCUCAGUCCUUUGAUGGUUAGACACCUAAUUUCCAGCCUAAAUUUAUACUCACUUGUGCCAGCACUAUCCUUUAGCUUACAUAGCUCUUCUCCCUCCCUGCCAUUUACACUCCAAUGUAUUUAUAGACAGCAAUCAUAUCCCCUCUCGGCAUUGAUUAAUGUCUUAUUGUUGGGGAGUGGGAUCGAUUGUACCAAAAGGAUCUUCUUCCACAUCUUUCCUGCUCAAACUUCAUUGAUUGUGACAGGACUGUUACAGAGAUAAAUCUGCUACUUCCUUAUUUUUCCCCUUUUAUUUUUCCCCUUUUAUUCUUCCCUACAAUAUUAAGUUUACUGUUGAGUGGUGAUACCAUUUCAGGGGUAUCAGCCAAUCAUAACGUACUUUCCAUUCUUCCCCAUACUCUUGCUCCCCGAAUGUAAUCAUGUUGGACAUAAUGCCUUAAAAGUAAUCUACAUCUAGACAUAAAAGUAUGUAUGUGCUGAAUGCCCUCAAUAGCAGGACAGCAUCUUCAGCGGAUAAGAUAGUAAACUAUUUUUUCCUUUUUAUGUUCAACAGAGCAAGGUUUUCACCCAAAGAUUUUGGUGAGCGUAAGGCAACAUGUUUCGCAUACACCUUUACAAAUGGGGGAAGUUUGGCAAUGUACAGAUUUUUUUUGUUGCACUUUGCACUAAUUGUUUUAAUUGCUGUGGCAUCUUUAUAUGCUUCAAUGGUGUUACUAUUAUCAAUUUUUAAAAAAAAUUAAAACAUAAGCCAUUUUAAUGAG